GAUCAGUGAUGAAAACAGCCAAAUCUGAGCAUCAGAAGACCUUCCAGUUCACCUGAUCUCUCUAGUUCUGAAA